ensembl:lncRNA
CAGGAAACCAUUAGUAUUUCAACAAGAGAACGCAGCAGUUUAAUAAUCAUCCCUAUUCAGGAUGAUUCAAAUUUUGGUGCUAAAGAACCAUCAUCUCCUGCCCCAGCACCUGCUCACCAUCAUCUUGCAUAUCAAAGUCAACCAGUGAUAUCAUGCCCUUCUCAUAUGAUGCCUCCGGAGCAACACGUACCACCUCCAUCUCCUCCACCACUACCAAGCCAUCCAAUGUCAUAUUCUCUCCAGAAUUCAGGUACUCCUCACCUGGUUUGCAGUUAAGUGCCGCCUCCACCCAUGACUUCUGAUCCAUCACCAAUGACUUCUUCCUCUGGAUGUAUUAUUGCCCAGGUGCCACCUUAUAUUACUCCUCCUCCUCCAAGGUCUCCUCUGUCUCAAAAUGGUGGUCCACCUGUAAGGGAAUUCCCUUUGAACCGUUGUAAUCCUAACUCUUUAUCCAAGUUCAUUGAAGAACAGGAAACUCUGAGCCCUCCAUUUACACAACCAGAUGGAACAAAUCCUGGUAUAUGGCGUGUAUCAAAAGAACAUUUACCUCCUCCACCAAUGCAAGCUCCACCUUCCCCAUUUCCACUGCCUGGCUCACAUUCAGAUCAGACAAGAUAUAGACCAUAUUAACAAUGAUAAUAGUAUUUUGAACUGAAGAGCUGAUAAGGUAAAAACCUUAAAUAUAGUCAAUCUUUUAAUUAAACUUUGACCAUUUUGGGAAGGAAAAGCUGUAAAACACUGAGGAUCUUGUCUCUUAAAAUGGUUUAAGCCUUGACUUUACCAUUUAUUUCAAGUUCUGUAACGUAGUGUGGAUAAAUGGCUCAGCUGAGCAUAGCUGUAUUUUAACAACUUUGUUCCCUUAGUGUGGGAAAUUGACCCAGAGGUGACCUUUUGUAAUAUGAAUUCCUGAAAUAAGUGUGCAUUGUUCCACUUUCAAAAGUAUUGUUUUUGUUUAUUUUUUUGUGAUUAUUUUGUUAACCUGUGUCAAAGGUUUAAAUUUCAAUAUGGUUGUAAAAAUGCCAUUUUUAUGUGAAUUUAAGCACAGUCACAUACUGUUUUUUUAAAAAACCAUGUUUUACUACUAAUUUCACAAAGUACAAUAAAAAUCCUACAAGUGAAAAUCUAGAAUAUACUGUAAGGCAGACAGCUAAAUGAUAGAGAAUUAUUUUACAUUUUAGGCACUGAAAUUUUGAGGUAUAAUAAGUAUAUAAUGCCUUUCAUUUGGAUGCCUUUCAUUUCUAGGCAGCCCCAGAAGCACCAAAAUACAUCGGAAUUCCAGUACUAUGAUAGAUUUAUGUUUGUAAUGUUAAAAGGCAUUACUAAAUCAUUUGGAAAGAUAUGGCUAAAGUAAUUGACUCUGUAGGCUCCAAGCUAGUGGGGAUGCUGUUACUUGUUAAUACUUUUUUUUCAGAAUGGUUGGAAUCACAUAAUGCACCACACUUCUUAGUCUUAAGUAACGUUAUAUUAUAGCACUGUUUAAAUGGUGUCAUUUGGAUGAAGUGUGUACUACUCUGCUCAUUGUCUUAAACUAAAUAUUUAGGGCUGAAUAGACUUUAGUAUAAUUCCUCAUUUCAUGGUAGAGUUUGGUCCCCUUCUUAUGGUUUCUUGUUUAUUGGGUUUUAAACUACAACUUAAGUUCCAUGGAGGAAUUUGAAUAAUGUAUUCAUGAUAGGCAUUCUUAUAGUUACAACUUGCAUUUGCUUGGGUUUCAUUAUUGUGUGAUAAAUGUUUUCCCUCUAAAUUGAAAUAAAACACUAUUCUUUCCUAUUUCUUUUACUGGUAAAGGAUGCUAAACUUGGAACAUUUUAUCAUGAAGUUAACAGUGAAGACUCCCAGAUGACUUUGUAUUGGAGAAGAGAAAAGUAAUGGCCAAACUAUAUGAAUUUCACUGCUUUAUAAGGUGUCUUUAGAAUCACUUUUGCGUCACAGGGACUUGUUAUAUUCCUGCUAAGGAAAAAAAAAUGUGAAUCCUACCUUAUGUCAGAGGAGGCUUUGAAGCUAUAAUGGACACAGAUCUAAAUUAAAGGUGAGGAUUUUUGAAGCUCAGAAAGUUUAAAUGAAUUAUCCUGAACUGAAUUGCCAGUGGGUCUGGACUUGAACCCAGGUUUUCAGUCCCGAAGCCCAUGGAAAAUUCCUCUCAUGUAUCUACAGAUAAACAGUUUUCAAAGAAUUUUAAUAUAUUUCCUUCAAACCAGAAAACU